rnacentral:rRNA from 1 species
AUUGAACGCUGGCGGCAUGCUUUACACAUGCAAGUCGAACGGCAGCGCGGGCUUCGGCCUGGCGGCGAGUGGCGAACGGGUGAGUAAUGCAUCGGAACGUGCCCAGUAGUGGGGGAUAGCCCGGCGAAAGCCGGAUUAAUACCGCAUACGACCUGAGGGUGAAAGCGGGGGACCGAAAGGCCUCGCGCUAUUGGAGCGGUCGAUGUCGGAUUAGCUAGUUGGUGGGGUAAAGGCUUACCAAGGCGACGAUCCGUAGCUGGUCUGAGAGGACGACCAGCCACACUGGGACUGAGACACGGCCCAGACUCCUACGGGAGGCAGCAGUCGGGAAUUUUGGACAAUGGGGGCAACCCUGAUCCAGCCAUGCCGCGUGCGGGAAGAAGGCCUUCGGGUUGUAAACCGCUUUUGUUCGGGAAGAAAUCCUCUGGGCUAAUACCCCGGGGGGAUGACGGUACCGGAAGAAUAAGCACCGGCUAACUACGUG